UAUGGAAAGGAGAGAUGAGAUCAAACAAGACCUGUUGAGAGGUCAAUGGAAAGGAGAGAUGAGAUCAAACAAGACCUGUUGAGAGGUCAAUGGAAAGGAGAGAUGAGAUCAAACAAGACCUGUUGAGAGGUCAAUGGAAAGGAGAGAUGAGAUCAAACAAGACCUGUUGAGAGGUCAAUGGAAAGGAGAGAUGAGAUCAAACAAGACCUGUUGAGAGGUCAAUGGAAAGGAGAGAUGAGAUCAAACAAGACCUGUUGAGAGGUCAAUGGAAAGGAGAGAUCAGAUCAAAUAAGACAUUGUGAGAGGUCAAUGGAAAGGAGAGAUCAGAUCAAAUAAGACAUUGUGAGAGGUCAAUGGAAAGGAGAGAUCAGAUCAAAUAAGACAUUGUGAGAGGUCAAUGGAAAGGAGAGAUCAGAUCAAAUAAGACAUUGUGAGAGGUCAAUGGAAAGGAGAGAUCAGAUCAAAUAAGACAUUGUGAGAGGUCAAUGGAAAGGAGAGAUCAGAUCAAAUAAGACAUUGUGAGAGGUCAAUGGAAAGGAGAGAUCAGAUCAAAUAAGACAUUGUGAGAGGUCAAUGGAAAGGAGAGAUCAGAUCAAAUAAGACAUUGUGAGAGGUCAAUGGAAAGGAGAGAUCAGAUCAAAUAAGACAUUGUGAGAGGUCAAUGGAAAGGAGAGAUCAGAUCAAAUAAGACAUUGUGAGAGGUCAAUGGAAAGGAGAGAUCAGAUCAAAUAAGACAUUGUGAGAGGUCAAUGGAAAGGAGAGAUCAGAUCAAAUAAGACAUUGUGAGAGGUCAAUGGAAAGGAGAGAUCAGAUCAAAUAAGACAUUGUGAGAGGUCAAUGGAAAGGAGAGAUCAGAUCAAAUAAGACAUUGUGAGAGGUCAAUGGAAAGGAGAGAUCAGAUCAAAUAAGACAUUGUGAGAGGUCAAUGGAAAGGAGAGAUCAGAUCAAAUAAGACAUUGUGAGAGGUCAAUGGAAACACCACACGU